rnacentral:tRNA from 1 species
AUAAUUGAUAAAAUUUUAUAAUUUUACUAUUAACAAUAAUAUACCUCUUUUUGGUUUCAAUUAA